AUUCUGCCCAUGCGGGGAAGGAUGAGAAGCCUCGACCAAGGUUCGACUCGAGCGCCAGCGAGAGAGCGUUGCCGCAGGCAACGACCCGAAGGGCGAAGCGCGCAGCGCUGAGUAAUCCUUCCCCCACCACCA
rnacentral:sRNA from 1 species